UGUAUGAUAUGUAUGCAUGUUUUAGAACAAGUUUAUGCAUGAUUGGUGAGUUUGGAGGCAAAAAUGCAUAAGGGAGCCAAGUUUCUGCCCUUUGGCAGAAACCAGGUUCGGCAGCCGAAGGAGCUUUCGGCCGCCGAACAUGGCUGGGGAGGCAGGCCUUUCGGCUGCCGAAGUUGCCCCCAAAAAGAGACUUUCGUCUCUGUCUGGGACUUUCGGCCGCCGAAGGUGCCGCCGAACAUGCAUGAGUUUCGCCUCUGUCUGGGAGUUUCGGCCGCCGAAGGUGUCGC
rnacentral:lncRNA from 1 species